GAUGAACGCUGGCGGCGUGCCUAAUACAUGCAAGUCGAGCGAACAGAUAAGGAGCUUGCUCCUUUGACGUUAGCGGCGGACGGGUGAGUAACACGUGGGUAACCUACCUAUAAGACUGGAAUAACUCCGGGAAACCGGGGCUAAUGCCGGAUAACAUUUAGAGCCGCAUGGUUCUAAAGUGAAAGAUGGUUUUGCUAUCACUUAUAGAUGGACCCGCGCCGUAUUAGCUAGUUGGUAAGGUAACGGCUUACCAAGGCAACGAUACGUAGCCGACCUGAGAGGGUGAACGGCCACACUGGAACUGAGACACGGUCCAGACUCAGACGGGAGGCAGCAGAAGGGAAUCUUCCGCAAUGGGAGAAAGCCUGACGGAGCAACGCCGCGUGAGUGAUGAAGGUCUUCGGAUCGUAAAACUCUGUUAUUAGGGAAGAACAAAUGUGUAAGUAACUGUGCACGUCUUGACGGUACCUAAUCAGAAAGCAACGGCUAACUACGU
rnacentral:rRNA from 1 species